CUUGUCCGUGUUUAAGGUAGUAGGCUGAGAUCUUAGGUAAAUCCGGGAUCUUAAGGCCGAGAACUGAUGACGAGUCAUCUUUUAGGUGAUGAAGUGGUUGAUGCCAUGCUUCCAAGAAAAGCUUCUAAGCUUCAGGUAACUAGGAACCGUACCCCAAACCGACACAGGUGGUUGGGUAGAGAAUACCAAGGCGCUUGAGAGAACUCGGGUGAAGGAACUAGGCAAAAUGGCACCGUAACUUCGGGAGAAGGUGCGCCGGUGAGGGUGAAGCAUUUACUGCGUAAGCCCAUGCCGGUCGAAGAUACCAGGCCGCUGCGACUGUUUAUUAAAAACACAGCACUCUGCAAACACGAAAGUGGACGUAUAGGGUGUGACGCCUGCCCGGUGCCGGAAGGUUAAUUGAUGGGGUUAGCGCAAGCGAAGCUCUUGAUCGAAGCCCCGGUAAACGGCGGCCGUAACUAUAACGGUCCUAAGGUAGCGAAAUUCCUUGUCGGGUAAGUUCCGACCUGCACGAAUGGCGUAACGAUGGCGGCGCUGUCUCCACCCGAGACUCAGUGAAAUUGAAAUCGCUGUGAAGAUGCAGUGUAUCCGCGGCUAGACGGAAAGACCCCGUGAACCUUUACUGUAGCUUUGCACUGGACUUUGAAUUUGUUUGUGUAGGAUAGGUGGGAGGCUUUGAAGCGUGGACGCCAGUUCGCGUGGAGCCAACCUUGAAAUACCACCCUGGCAACUUUGAGGUUCUAACUCUGGUCCGUUAUCCGGAUCGAGGACAGUGUAUGGUGGGCAGUUUGACUGGGGCGGUCUCCUCCUAAAGAGUAACGGAGGAGUACGAAGGUGCGCUCAGACCGGUCGGAAAUCGGUCGUAGAGUAUAAAGGCAAAAGCGCGCUUGACUGCGAGACAGACACGUCGAGCAGGUACGAAAGUAGGUCUUAGUGAUCCGGUGGUUCUGUAUGGAAGGGCCAUCGCUCAACGGAUAAAAGGCACUCCGGGGAUAACAGGCUGAUACCGCCCAAGAGUUCAUAUCGACGGCGGUGUUUGGCACCUCGAUGUCGGCUCAUCACAUCCUGGGGCUGAAGCCGGUCCCAAGGGUAUGGCUGUUCGCCAUUUAAAGUGGUACGCGAGCUGGGUUUAGAACGUCGUGAGACAGUUCGGUCCCUAUCUGCCGUGGACGUUUGAGAUUUGAGAGGGGCUGCUCCUAGUACGAGAGGACCGGAGUGGACGAACCUCUGGUGUUCCGGUUGUCACGCCAGUGGCAUUGCCGGGUAGCUAUGUUCGGAAUAGAUAACCGCUGAAAGCAUCUAAGCGGGAAACUAGCCUCAAGAUGAGAUCUCACUGAAACCUUGAGUUCCCUAAAGGGCCGUCGAAGACUACGACGUUGAUAGGUUGGGUGUGUAAGCGCUGUGAGGCGUUGAGCUAACCAAUACUAAUUGCCCGUGAGGCUUGACCU
rnacentral:rRNA from 1 species